AAAAGCUUAAGUUAAGCAAAACUAUAAGCCUUCAAAGCUUAAAUUAUAGAAAGUCUAUAGCUUUUA
rnacentral:tRNA from 1 species